rnacentral:rRNA from 1 species
AUGAUAGACCAGAAAUAUUUGAGGGGUAAGACAAAUGUUUUUGCGCCCAGCACCUCCACUGUUGUUUCUAGGUUUUGGAAAGGAGUCAAAUCCAUCAUCCAAACUUUGAAAUUUGGAUAUAGAUGGAAGGUAGGAAUAGGAGAUAGGAUCAGGUUCUGGGAGGACACUUGGUUUGGUACCUCUCCCCUAGCAGUUUAGUUCUGGCACAUUUACAUGCUCUGUAGUGAGCAAACUAAAAGUGUUAAGGAAGUUUGGGAUGGUGAAAUCAUGAAACUAACUUUUAGAAGGAAUUUUGACAACAAGCUAAUGGAACAAUGGUACCAGCUUGUUGAGAUAGCUAAAGGGAUUGCCUUCAGCAAUGACCCUGACGCCCUCAUUUGGCAGCUUGAGAGCAAAGGGGUUUACUCCUCCAGCUCUUUAUAUCAUGUAAACAAUUUUAGGGGUGAGCAACCACUGUUUCUCCCUGCGGUUUGGAAACUAGUUGUGCCACCCAAGAUCCAUGUUUUUCUUUGGUUAGUUUCACAGAACAAGCUGAUGACAAGAGAUAGCUUGAGGAAAAGGCAUGUUAUGAAGCCACUAGAUUGUGUGUUCUGUGCCGAAAAUGGAACAAAUCACCAGUUAUUCUUUGACUAUGUGGUAGCCAGGAGUAUUUGGUCUUUUGUCAAUUAUUUUUUCAGAAGGAGCUAG